rnacentral:rRNA from 1 species
AUACGUAGGUGGCGAGCGUUAUCCGGAAUUACUGGGUGUAAAGGGUGUGUAGGCGGGAAGGCAAGUCGGAUGUGAAAAUUAUGGGCUCAACCCAUAAAGUGCGACCGAAACUGGUUUUCUUGAGGAUCGGAGAGGUAAUGAGAAUUCCCGGUGUAGCGGUGAAAUGCGCAGAGAUCGGGAGGAAUACCGGUGGCGAAGGCGAAUUACUGGACGAUAACUGACGCUGAGACACGAAAGCGUGGGGAGCAAACAGGAUUAGAUACCCUGGUAGUCCACGCCCUAAACGAUGAAUGCUAGGUGUAGGGGAGUCAUCUUCUGUGCCGCAGCUAACGCAAUAAGCAUUCCACCUGGGGAGUACGGCCGCAAGGUUGAAACUCAAAUGAAUUGACGGGG